UUGAUUACCUGUGUCAUAAACUGGGACAUUCUGUUUAAGUUUUACUGAUAAUGUUUAGAAAUAAACCCGUACAGGGCUUUCCUAACAGCCACUUAAUAAAAACUUCGCUAGAUAAAAAAUUCCUGCUAGCCAAAAAAACCCAAAAAACGUUUAUGUUUAAUUAUCUUAAAUAAUAGGUGUCGAUAGCAAAUACUUUUUGCAUAAUGGCAUCAUUGCAGACUGUGGUAUUUCUCCUUCCACAUACUGGAGGCUCCAGGGAGAGUCCUCAUCAUCCAACAGUAUAACGUUGAUUGUAAUCCCACUCCCACAUUGUCCAACACCAGGACACGAUGCCACAAGAAUUCCAAAGAUGAACAAACACAGUAACCAGCUUCCCGAGCCCAUUCUCAGCUCCGAGUCUUUAUAAAUUCUGCAAAUGCUGGUCGUCUGUCCAGCACGUCUGAGACAAAGAACAAGCCACAUUCAGAGUCACUGAAAUCACCUUCUUCCUCAUUCUGCUGGGUAAGCAGCUU